GACGAACGCUGGCGGUGUGCUUCACACAUGCAAGUCGAACGAGGUAGCAAUACCUAGUGGCGGACGGGUGAGUAACGCGUGGGAAUCUGCCCAUAGGUGGGGGAUAACUAGCCGAAAGGUUAGCUAAUACCGCAUAUGCCGAGAGGUAAAAGGAGUAAUCCGCCUUUGGAUGAGCCCGCGUCCGAUUAGCUAGUUGGUAGGGUAAAAGCCUACCAAGGCUACGAUCGGUAGCUGGUCUGAGAGGAUGAUCAGCCACACUGGGACUGAGACACGGCCCAGACUCCUACGGGAGGCAGCAGUGGGGAAUAUUGCGCAAUGGGCGAAAGCCUGACGCAGCGACGCCGCGUGGGUGAUGAAGGCC
rnacentral:rRNA from 1 species